CCUACGGGAGGCAGCAGUGGGGAAUAUUGCACAAUGGGGGAAACCCUGAUGCAGCGACGCCGCGUGAGUGAAGAAGUAAUUCGGUACGUAAAGCUCUAUCAGCAGGGAAGAAAAUGACGGUACCUGAGUAAGAAGCCACGGAUAACUCCGGGCCAGAAGCCGCGGUAAUACGGAGGAGGCGAGCGUUAUACGGAUUUACUGGGUGUAAAGGGAGCGUAGAGGGUGGGCCAAGUCUGGAGUGAAAGGCCGCAGCUUAACUGCGGAACUGCUUUGGAAACUGGGGAACUAGAGUACGUGAGGGGUAAGCGGAAUUCCUAGUGUAGCGGUGAAAUGCGUAGAUAUUAGGAGGAACACCGGUGGCGAAGGCGGCUUACUGGACCGUAACUGACGUUGAGGCUCGAAAGCGUGGGGAGCAAACAGGAUUAGAUACCCGUGUAGUC
rnacentral:rRNA from 1 species